CCUACGGGAGGCAGCAGUGGGGAAUAUUGCACAAUGGGGGGAACCCUGAUGCAGCGACGCCGCGUGGGUGAGGAAGUACUUCGGUAUGUAAAGCCCUAUCAGCAGGGAAGAAAAUGACGGUACCUGACUAAGAAGCCCCGGCUAACUACGUGCCAGCAGCCGCGGUAAUACGUAGGGGGCAAGCGUUAUCCGGAGUUACUGGGUGAAAAGGGAGCGUAGGCGGCGUGCCAAGUCUGAUGUGAAAGGCCAGGGCUCAACGCCGGGACUGCGUUGGAUACUGGCAGGCUGGAGUGCCGGAGGGGCAAGUGGAAUUCCCGGUGUAGCGGUGAAAUGCGUAGAUAUUAGGAGGAACACCAGUGGCGAAGGCGGCUUGCUGGGCGGUAACUGACGUUGAGGAGCGAAAGCGUGGGGAGCAAACAGGAUUAGAUACCCGAGUAGUC
rnacentral:rRNA from 1 species